rnacentral:rRNA from 1 species
GACGAACGCUGGCGGCGUGCUUAACACAUGUAAGUCGAACGAAGUGGCGCACGGGUGAGUAACGCGUAAUCAACCUGCCCUUCAGAGGGGGACAACAGUUGGAAACGACUGCUAAUACCGCAUACUUAAGGCGGGUAUUGCGUCAGGUUAGUUAGUUGGAGGGGUAACGGCCCACCAAGGCGAUGAUCAGUAGCCGGUCUGAGAGGAGGAACCGACACAUUGGGAAUGGGACACGGCCCAGACUCCUACGGGGGGCCGCAGUGGGGAAUCUUCCGAAAGGGACGAAAGUCUGACGGAGCAACGCCGCGUGAGUGAUGACGGCCUUCGGGUUGUAAAGCUCUGUUAAUCGGGACGCGGUACCGGAAUAGAAAGCCACGGCUAACUACGUGCCAGCAGCCGCGGUAAUUC